AUUGAACGCUGGCGGCAGGCCUAACACAUGCAGGUCGAACGGUAACAGGAAGAAGCUUGCUUCUUUGCUGACGAGUGGCGGACGGGUGAGUAAUGUCUGGGAAACUGCCUGAUGGAGGGGGAUAACUACUGGAAACGGUAGCUAAUACCGCAUAACGUCGCAAGACCAAAGAGGGGGACCUUCGGGCCUCUUGCCAUCGGAUGUGCCCAGAUGGGAUUAGCUAGUAGGUGGGGUAACGGCUCACCUAGGCGACGAUCCCUAGCUGGUCUGAGAGGAUGACCAGCCACACUGGAACUGAGACACGGUCCAGGCUCCUACGGGAGGCAGCAGUGGGGAAUAUUGCACAAUGGGCGAAAGCCUGAUGCAGCCAUGCCGCGUGUAUGAAGAAGGCCUUCGGGUUGUAAAGUACUUUCAGCGGGGAGGAAGGGAGUAAAGUUAAUACCUUUGCUCAUUGACGUUACCCGCAGAAGAAGCACCGGCUAACUCCGUG
rnacentral:rRNA from 1 species